rnacentral:snoRNA from 1 species
AAGACUAUGCUUUCAGAGGUCAUUUCUAUAGUUCUUUACUAAAGUUUUUCUGAGGAGGUAGAACACCGGAAACCAUGAGGAGGAGGCACAACAUUCUCUCCUGAGCAUGAAGCGGCUCUUGGUGUUGCUUUGCUGCAACUGCCAUUUGCUAUUGAUUGUUCUUCUGUCCCUUUUUGGGAGAGCAAGAAGGAGAGGACAUGGUCUGAGUGGU